rnacentral:lncRNA from 1 species
UUAGUUUUAUUCAUUAUCUUUUAUCGUAAUUUUCAAUUUUUCGUUUGCAAUUUUUUUUUUUUUUUUUUUUUUUUUUAAUUAAUUUUCUUGCGUACUUAACUGAAUUUGAUGCGAAAUAUAUAAGCACACAAAUUAAACCCUCUUUUUGACAAUUGUAGUAUAGAUGUAAGUAGGGUAUCGUUCUAGGCCGGGGAUUAGGAGGGAUUGCUAAUCUAUUCUAAAUUAAUUUAAAAAUAUUAAAUAAGACUCAAGGACACAAAACUAGGCUAAAAACUCUAAUAACUUGAAACACACUUAUAAUGACUCAAAAUAAUGGAAACACUCAAAUUAGACACUAGGAACUGAAAUGGACGGAAAUUGAAUUAAAAGACUAACAACAAAGAAAACUAACUAAAUAAUAUAAUUUAAUAAUGGAUGGGUGUUUGGUUUUGAUGAAAAGUAAAAUAAACUUAAUUAAAUUACAGAAUUGACAAAAACAUAAAAUUAAGGUAAAAUGAUAAAUGACGGACUAGCUAG